ensembl:lncRNA
AGGCAGGGCGGGAGCACGAGAUGGGAUCUCUCGCGGGCUGUGAGAAAUUCUCAGAGGAAAAUAAUCAAAAAGAAAACAGAAGAGAGGACUCAAAGGCACAAGAGGCUGGUUCCUGACACGGCCUUACAGUCUUCCGUGGCCCCUGUGAGCAGGCACAGUGAUGCUCGUGGUGCCUGUGGCCUUGGCUCAUCCGACAGCAUCCUCCACCUGCAGGGCUGAUGGUAAGCUGAUGCACCUGAGACCCAAGGGGCAGGCAAAGGGAAGGACAGAGGAGAGGAAGCGACCACCCUGGAGAUGUUCAUUGUCUCAUUGAGUCCUGACUGUGUGGGUGGUCACCCCACUUUACAGAGGGGGACUGUGGCUCCGCGGGGCAGCUGGCCUUGUUCCAGGCUACAUGGACAGUGAAAGCAGGAAGACACUGAUACAGCGUCUUCUGAAUCCUGGUUGCUUUCACAUGGACGCCGUAUUUCACCAGCAAACACAAGAAGAGAAACCCUAGGGGAGACAUUUUCUUCCUGUUUUCCAGAUGUGCACACCAAGGCUUAGGGAGCGGGCGGCUUAUCCAGGGGUGGCGCUGGAGCCAGGCUUGCCGGCCUCGGGCAUAAACUCGCCCAGCACCAGCCUCCCGUACUAGGCUCUGACGUGCCCUCUCGGGGAGCAGAAGGCAACACUGGGCCCUUUGACAGGAUUUCCGUGGGCGCGACCGGGCGCCCCAAGCAUGGCAGCCGGCGCGGAGGGGAGGCACGGUUUAUUUUUCCUGCGGGCCGCUCUGGAGCCUUUCAAAGGUGUGAGCUCCGUGGCCUGCAGAGGCUGACGCUGCUGGGCACCUCGAGCUGGCCCUGUCCUCCCCGACCACAGGCCCCCGCCUCCUGCGCCACGGGCCCGGGUGCGGGGACUCCCUCCGGCCUGCAUGCCCUCUCACUCACGGAAAGGCUGCAGAGUGACAGGCCGGAAACUCCACUCUGGUGUUUACUCAACAAACACAGAGAUGGCCCUCUGGGCUCUCCCCCCACGUCCAGGCCCUCUGCUACCCCCAGGGAAGAGGGCCUUCCAGCCCACUCCCAGGCUUGGGGUACCUCGCACUUUCACCUCUGGAGACUGCCUCAGGGAGGAGCGUCCAGGCUGGCCCUGCAGCAAGAGAGAGUCUGGUUAGACACAAGGAGGAACUUCCUGCCACCAAGGGACACUCAGCUCAGAGGAAGAAGGAGAUCCUCUUCUCUUGAAGAGUGCUGUGCUCUCUUGGGAAGGACUCUGGGCUCUUCUGUCUGAGCCUCCUCUCCUCAUCCCUGACGACGAGGGGUGAGACUGUCUGAUUCCCGAGCCCCUUCCCCACCAGUUCUAACAUUGUUAUCGCUCUGAGAUUCCACAGUGUGAGACAAGGGGCAGGAGACCCAGCUCCAUCCCAGCUCCACCAGCAACUGACUGUCGGAACGUGGGCAAAGUUACUCUGCAGCUCUUGGGCUCCCCAUCUGUAAAAUGGGCACAAUUGUCAAGGGUCAUUAUGACUUAAUGGAUAGGAAAUACACCAUACGGUAUGUUCUAUCCGUGAGCGCCCCAUGUGUGCAAAGUGGGUUGAUUAUGUCCACGCUCCCUUCCCUACCACCCCCUCCCCCCGCCCCCCUGUUUCUUUUGACCCUUCCUCCCUUUCUUUCUUUACUUCCCCCAAGAGGGGAAGUUCACAUGUCCUCUUCUCUGCUGAGCCCGUUAACUGAGAAAGGGUGUUGAUAGAUCGAGAGGUUUUUGUUUUAAUUUUGUUUGAAUUUUUUCUUUCUUAAUGCAGUUAAUACAAGUGGGCCCAGGAAGAUAGUGGGGCCACAGGCAGAUGCCCCUGAGCCUGCAGCUCCCCUCUGGCAGCCCUCUAGAAGAAUCUGGAACAUUCCCCCUGCUGGGAGAUGUCUGGCUGGGUCUGGGAGGGUAGGACAGUGAGAAAUCCAUGGUCACAGCGUCGCGGACUGGACCAAAGGACCAUUUCUCAACGUUUCUGCCUCCACACUGUUUUGGACCAGACGGAGCAAUUGUGUCGGUGAACUGACUGGUUGUUUCCUUAUAUGACAGCCAAGGAAGCGGCAUGAUUACUUUUUAAAAACCACGCUGACAUUGUUGUUGUUUCUGUCGCCUUUUUUUUCUCCC